rnacentral:lncRNA from 1 species
CCGGACAUAGUCACGGCUGGAUUAUGGUAGAAGUUUUAAUUGAAUUACUACAAUAAGUAAAAAGAUAUCUACCUGAUUAUCUGGACACCAGACGGAAAUAGUAGUAACUUCUUGUUUAUUUAAUCUUCUGAUAUUACAAAGAGAGAUAUUAGAGAGAGGGGAGAGGUUUUUUAAAGAGAAUUUAAAGAAAAACUUGAUGCCUCUAUCUGAGAAUGAGGCGCCUAUAAAUAAUAGAAAAGGGAAUCUUGCACAGUAAUAUAUGGGGCCCUGUGCAUAGUGUUUUUACUGUUACAACAGAUAUAUUUAUCAAAUAGUCAGGUCAUGUC